GUGAAAUUGUUGAAAGGGAAGCGCUUGCAACCAGACUUGCACGCAGUUGAUCAUCCGGUGUUCUCACCGGGGCACUCUGCUGCGUUCAGGCCAGCAUCGGUUUUGGUGGUUGGAUAAAGGCCUUGGGAAUGUGGCUUCCUUCGGGGAGUGUUAUAGCCCUCGGUGCAAUGCAGCCUACCGGGACCGAGGACCGCGCUUCGGCUAGGAUGCUGGCGUAAUGGUUGUAAGCGACCCGUCUUGAAACACGGACCAAGGAGUCUAACAUCUAUGCGAGUGUUUGGGUGUCAAACCCAUACGCGUAAUGAAAGUGAACGGAGGUGAGAGCCCUUUAGGGCGCAUCAUCGACCGAUCCUGAUGUCUUCGGAUGGAUUUGAGUAAGAGCAUAGCUGUUGGGACCCGAAAGAUGGUGAACUAUGCGUGAAUAGGGUGAAGCCAGAGGAAACUCUGGUGGAGGCUCGCAGCGGUUCUGACGUGCAAAUCGAUCGUCAAAUUUGCGUAUAGGGGCGAAAGACUAAUCGAACCAUUUACCGCAGCCAGCCUGAAAGGGCAGCGCGCACCAGCUCUAUGCUGGGGAUGGUAACAAUGUGGUGGCUAGGGAUAAUUCGCAGCCAACUCCUACGGGCGAUCACCGCCUACGGACGCAGUUCACAGACUAAAUGUGAGUGGGCUCUCGGAGCUUAAGUGAUAGUCGACCCCCCGCGAGAGCGGGUGGA
rnacentral:rRNA from 1 species